CGAAGUGAGCGAAUUGCAUGUAGAGAUCCGUAGGGGCUUAUAGUUUAAUUGGUUGAAACGUACCGCUCAUAACGGUAAUAUUGUAGGUUCGAGCCCUACUAAGCCUACCACCCCCUUCUCUUCACCCGAUACAAGAAGGCAGUCGAAGUCCCCUCCACUCUUCAUUUUAUGGGAAGACAUCGCGUUCCUAGUCGAUUUCCCUCAUUGCACUGUCCCCUUAAUGCUACGAAGUGAAGCAGGCAUAGAGACCAACCAAACCA
rnacentral:tRNA from 1 species